CACAUGCAAGUCGAACGGUAGCAGGAAGAAGCUUGCUUCUUUGCUGACGAGUGGCGGACGGGUGAGUAAUGCUUGGGGAUCUGGCUUAUGGAGGGGGAUAACUACGGGAAACUGUAGCUAAUACCGCGUAGUAUCGAGAGAUGAAAGACUGGGACCGCAAGGCCAGUUGCCAUAAGAUGAGCCCAAGUGGGAUUAGGUAGUUGGUGGGGUAAAG
rnacentral:rRNA from 1 species